UUUUAUUGAACAAAUGAAGUUAGUAAGAUAGGUAAAAACAGUCAUUUGUGGUAGGUAUUGGAAACAGCUUGAAAGAGAUUUGAAAAGGUAAUGAAGAAAAGAACAAGAAUGACUUUGAGAGUAAAUGGCAGGAGACAAAUACAGGGAGAUGAAAUGACAACUAGUUGGGGGAAAGUAACAAGAAAUUUUGAAUUUGACAUAGGAAGGGACCAGAGAAGAGAAAGAACAGCCAAAUGAGGGAAGAUUAAGGAGCUAAUUUUGAAUCACAUGCGUUUUCUCCUUUUAAUCUUCCUAAGAACUCUACGAAAUGCAUAUUUUCCCCAUUUUAUAGAUAAGGAAGAAAAGGUUCAGAGAACUUGUUCAGGAUGUCAUAGCUAGUAAGUGGCAAAAUCAGAAUUGGCAUUCAUGCUCUUUCCACUCCUGUGCCGUGGUCUCCUGCAACAGAGGAAUCAAUCUGCCCAAAAGGUUAUCUUCCCAUUGUUUGGUUCUGUAAGUUAUCACAGAACUUAAAGCUAGUGAAAUUUGUGCUAUGCCUAUAAAUUCAUAUUUACACCAUUAUUUUGAGGGGCUGAUUACUAAUUACUUUUUUUAAAUGAUGCACUGAUGAAAAUGUGAAAGGAAAAUAUGGCAUUAUUUGCCAAGAAAAAAUAGAAAGGAUAGAAAAGAAUUUUAUCAAAAUUUUAAUCUUUUUCCAUAAAAGAUAAAAUAAUCUUUUCUAUAUCCCAUCCAUAUUAUAUUAUUGAACCUUCUAUGUGUAUGUUUUUAAAUCUAUAAAAUUCUAUUUCCUUGACUCCAAGUUAACAACUAUUUAUUUCAUACUAAAUCAAAAUUAGAACAAUCUUGAAAUCUAAGAUCUGGUUCCUGCCUAUUUCACCUAGUUGGAAAGACACACUGCACAUGAAAUAGUAGAACAUGUAAAUGUUCACCUUUCUGAGACUGAACCAUAAUUACAAUAGAAGUUUAGAAAGGGUAAAGAAUAGCGUAGGCUUUAGUUAGGAAAAUAAAACUGAAAAAUGGCAAUCACUGUGGCUCACAUUUUCUUUUGACUCACCUGUGUUCUUCAGCUCCAGCUUUUGUAACUACUAGAUUUAGGGAGUGACCAUUAUCAGUAAGGAGUACCUAAUUUCCAAGUAAAAAAGGAUUAUUGAUCCCAGAUUAAAAAUUUUAGCUAGCAAGGAUCUUACUUGGAUACCUAGGAAAAUAACAGAGGGAGCCACUAGCAACUGAAAAGUGAAGGAAGAAUUUAAUUUCUCCAUCCAGGUACAAAUUAAAUGUAUAGUAUAUAUAAUAUGCAGAAGGGGAACUAUAUGUAGGCCUAAGUGUAUUUGGGUAUCGGCUCUGCUCAUUAACAGAAUUGGACUAGAUCAUUAAUUUUCAAUCUGUUCAAAUAAAGGGGCUUGUAAUUAAAAAAUUUGGCAGUGGUGGGAGCUCAUGGAAUUAAGUAUUAAUAUCAUUAAUUCCAUAGAUGGAGAAAAUAUAAAUGAGGAAUUGAAGACCCUUUGCAGAAAUUCUAGGAACCUAUAGAUUGUAGACCACUGAGUUAGAUUAUCUCUGAAGUCCUUUCUGCUCCAAAAUUUAAUGCUUCUAGCCUCUUCCCUUUAUUUUAUAUAUUAAUCUCUAGGUUAAUUUAAAAGUAUACUUGUCAAUCAAUUCCUUUGCUUUUUUCUGUGGCACAGCAGGUUAAGAAUCUGGCAUUGUCACUGCAGGGCUUGAGUCAUUGGCCUGGUAACUUCUGCAUGCUGCAGGCAUGGCCAAAAAAAAAAAAAAGUCUACCCUGACUGUGAUGACUGAAAUCUCUAAAAGGAGAGAUAAUAGUUACAGGUCUAGUACUGAUCUUUUAAACACAGUUCCUUAAUUUUAAAACCUAAUACUGUGUUCCUAAUCAGUGUUGAGUAUGACUAAAAUGUCAUGAAAACCAAAUAUUUCACUGGCCGCAGAGUUAAUUUUUAUUUUGUAUGUGUGCUUAAACAAAGCAUUUUAUUGACAGAACAAUUGUUAGGAAAUUGAUUUGUGCAAGUUGUAGAAUUCACACUUGAUUUUGAAAGAAACAGGUUUUCCAAGAUCCAAUUAGGCUGAAUUUUAAAAUAUUUCUUUUCCCAUGGAGUGUAUCUCCAUGGUGUAAUUCUCUCUCUGGCCCUAUUUAACUAUUCAGUAGUAAAUCAUGGGAUGUGGGUUGAUGAAUAAGUAAUGUCUUAUUUAAAACUAAAUGAGAGAACAAUCCACCCUUCUGGUAAACAUGGGAAUUUCCCAUUAGAUAAGCCUUUCUGAAAGGCUACGUAAAGACAGCCGUGUAUUAUGAAUAUUCAACUUCAUUGAUUUGCCGUGCUUAGCAUUUCGGUUACUAUCUUGCCGUGAAACUUCGUAUUGCACUGUACACAUUUUAGAAUAGUGGCUUGAAUGUUCUUUAGUACUGAAAAUAACAGAAUACCAGGCCACUGUUGAUUUCUCCUGAUAAUGUAGAAAUUUGGUAUUUCAGUGAUGGCUGUUUUGGUCUUUGAUUCACCUCUGUGCCAGUUCUGUUAGAGAGACAGCUUAGAUUUUUUUUUCUUUUUUGCAUUUUAGGGCGGCACCUGCAGCAUGUGGAGGUUUGCAGGCCUAGGGGUCUAAUCGGAGCUACAGCUGCCUCCCACAGCCACAGCCACAGCCACAGCAAUGCCAGAUGCGAGCCUUGUCUGCGACCUACACCACAGCUCAUGGCAACACCGGAUCCUUAACCCACUGAGCGAGGCCAGGGAUUGAAACUGCAUCCUCAUGGAUGCUAGUCAGAUUCGUUAACCACUGAGCUAUGACUCGAACUCCUAGAAAUUUUUAAAUAGAGAUUAUGAUAACCAUGGUAGUUUUCCCAUGAGGUGAUCCUGUGGUUAAAUUAUUAUAUCCAGCAGUGAGAUGCUUAAUUAGAAAAUCUUUUAAAACUACUUUACUUUUCCAUUCUCUUCUUGAUUUUUGACAUCCAUUCUCUGGAAAUGGCAUGAUUUUUAAAGAAAUUGGCUAUUUUUAAGAAAUUCCAUUUCUGGAGUUCCCUGGUGGUACAGCAGAUUAAGGAUCCAGUGUUGUCACUGUGUGGCUCAGGUUUGAUUUCUGACCCCAGAACUUCCAUAUACUGCAAGCGUGGCCCAAAAAAAAUCCACUUCUAAUUUUUCAUCUUUUAUAAAUUAAUAUACAAGAAAAGAAUUCAAGGCACUUAUUUUUCUCUCUACAUAAGAAUUCUUAUUCCAAAUGAGACUAGCUCUCUCCAUGACAUCCCUCCCACCACCUUUGUUGGCCCAUAGAAUGCUGUUGUAUUGCUUAGAAUCUUGAUCAUUCUCAUAAACAUCAUAAUUUUUGGUACAAAUCUCAAAGUAGGGCAUAAUGAAUAUGCCCAACUGCUUUAAUGAUAUGAACUGAACUGCUUUAAUGAAACAUCAUUUAGCAUUUCUCUGAAGUAUUUUCAGGAGAUAACCAAAUUCACUUGUAGGAUUGAGACACAAAUGCCAAUGGUAGUAUUUUGCUUUGGAACAAUCACAUAUUAUUAAUCUAUGAAUACGGCAUGUUGCCAACAGAUACUUAAUUCUGUUGCAACUAACAGCAAGUUUUUGUUGUUUGCUUAAUAGUAUUGCCUUUACAGAGCUCAAAAUGCCCUAAGAUUUUAUAUCCUUUAUAAAAUCACUUGAGUUUACAAAUUGGAAGAAUAAACUGAUCAUAAGAAAAAUUUUAUCUCCAUUAAAAUAAGUUAUUAAUCUAACUGGGCCACCAUGUCAUUUAUUAGACAUGGUAAAUGGGAAACAUUUCAAAUCAUUAGAUAAAUUGACUUGGAAUUGAAUUUUCCCUUCCUUAAAAUCUUUUCUAUUUGUUUUUUUCAUAGACUCAAUAUGGGCAUCUUAACUGAUAGGGAGAGAAAUUCUUGAUCUAAAACCAUUCCCUGCCAUUCUGCUACCCCUUCCUGCACCCCCGCCGCCCCUCCUCUGUCAAGGUCGCUAGGAUAUCUUUCAAUCUAAUGACAUUGGAAUGUUGAUGCUCACUUGGCUAUCUUUCUGUUUUCAACAGAAUGGUUUUAAUAGUAUGCUUUUCUCAAAGCUUCUGUGUUCUUAAUAAUGGAAAAUAUCAAUAAAUGGUGUGAUUCAAACUAUAAAUAGGUUUUUGACACUAAUCAAAUCACAUGCUCUUAACAAUAGCUGUUUGAUAAUUUAUUUCCUUGUAAAUUAAACCUCCCAUGGAGUGACUAUUGCCACCAGAAAAUCCCCUCUUACCUGCUAAUUAGAAUGAAAGUACUAUGUGGCCUCCACUUUUCAGUUACUGAGUAGCAAGCUUAUAGAGGCUGUUUAUCUUACGUGUUUGGGGACUUGGCCCUUGUUACUUUCCUAGGCCUGUCCUUUCAGUUUGGAAAGGCUAUUUAAAACUUGGUGGGGUACAGACAGUACAGCUGUAAGAUAAUCCUCUGGUCUUAGAUCUAGAGAAAUGAGUACCAAUUGAUGCUAACAUGAUAUUUAGACUUAGAGGGGCUUCUAGCCUAUCUUUGGCAAGAGUCUUAGACACAAUUUUAUUCACUCCUUUAAGAAUCUUUUUUUCUAGAACGGUUUUCCUUCUGAUUGUUAACUUCUAAGCUUCGGAGAGUUAAGCAUCUAGUGUCUUUUUUUUUUAACCCUUGAAGAAACAAAGUAGAUAUUGUUCUAUGGAGACUCUCAGGAGUGUUUGUAGGCUCUGUGCAUGCUUUGUAUGAGUUCAGUUCAUUUCGAAUCAUCCGGGAUGUCCAAUUCUGGCAUGUCUUCACUAAUUGUAUUUUUUAAACAUUUUUCAUGUCAUUUUCCAAAUGUCACUUCCCAUCUUAUCCAGAGAGGUUAAUCAAGGAAUGAAAUUUGGGGAUAGGGAUGGGGGUGGGUUGGGGGCUUGAGUGAAGUCAACUUGGGGUAUUUGCUUUAAAGUGUUCUCAAGCAGUUUCUAACAGUAUUUAGAAAUUCCCUGGGAUGUUUGUGUGCUCAGCUUAUUCUGGAUAAAGUGGUGGUCUUAGUAAGAUUUGCAUUCUUAAUGCAGGACAGGCUCUAAAUUUAAUCUGUAGUGUAAAUUUGUUAUUGAAUCCAAGAAGAUAAUGGACAAAGACAGUGCUCCUAUUGUAGUGUUUAUGGCAAGUGCUCCCUAAAAUACACAAAAGUACAGUUCUGUUUUCUGGGCUUUAAUCCCAUGGUGCUAGGAGAUAUCAUGUGUUUCUGCAGUUCUUAAGGAUGGGAAGGCGGCGUUGGGAUCAGUGAGAAAGGGGCAACUGGAUCAUCCACUAAAUUUUUUGUUCAGUACACACUAGAGACCCUCCUGUAUAUCUAGUAAGUGAUAAUAAAGGUGCUAGGGAAAGCCUUAAAUUUGAAGACAUGUGGAGACUAUAGAAUAUCUAAACUUGUAGGAGGAGAAAACAUGCCGUUAGAUAAAGCAGAGCUGUAACUGCUGGCUAAGACUCAAUGGAACUUCCACUUGCUCUAAAACCAGGGAAAUCUUAGAUAACUGGGUGUGAUAUAUCUAUAGAUAUACAUAGUCUAUAGGUAAAUAAUUUCUAAAAUGAGGAUCUUUCAGUUGGUGAUCCUCUGGUUUUGACUGUACCAAAUUGUGAAUAUUCUUACUGUGUUGUACCCAGUUGCUUUAUAUUGAUACUGCAACUUGAAUUUGGGGAGGGGGCGGUGGGACAUUCAGGGUGGGGGAGGGAGGGGAGUGGGACGAUAAGUCUUUUGAAGACAUCAGCUCACUGUGCUGAGAGAGGGACCAAACUCAAGGAAACCUCUAAUCUAUAAAUUCAACUGCUGCAUUUUUUAUAAAUACAUGUAAAUGUCCUGUUGUAAUAUUUGAUCUUGGAAAUAAA
rnacentral:lncRNA from 1 species